rnacentral:rRNA from 1 species
GCCGGCAGCUAGCUCUCUGCAACUCUCACAUGGUCGCCCACUGAAGCUAAGCAGGGCUGCGCCCGGUCAGUACCUGGAUGGGAGACCACAUGGGAGAGCUAGGUUGCUGCCAGAA